UCAAUUAUCACAAAUCAAAUGCAUUAAUCAGAAAAAAAAGCAUAAUUAGAAGAAAGGGGUUUAGGGUUGAUUUACGUGUGACUAUUGAAAUCGGAUUAGAUGAGGUCUCUUCUUCACCCUCAAUGCGGCGCCGGAGAACUCAUUUCUCCGAAUAGAAACUCCGCCGCUCGCCUUUCGACCACCACACGUAAACAUCUCCCUCACUCUCGUUCGCCUCUCACCCUCGCUUCUUCGCGUUCAUCUUCUUCUCUUCGAUUAGCUUUUGUUGUUGAAGAUGUGAGAGCCCCUGAUAUCGUUGUAACCUUGGUUAAUUACGCAGAUUCAAGCACCUGAUGGAGAACUCGUCAUUGAAGAUUGAAGUUGUUGAAGAAUCGUGAACACGGUUCAGAGGAGGUUGAGGGGUAAUGGUGAUGAGUGUCCAACUGAAGAAUGAUGAAGAUGGUGGAGAAGCAAGAGUUGAUGACUGAAGAUGAUGAUGAAAUGUGAAGGGAUCGAGAGAAGGUGUGAUGAGAUGAUCAAUGGUGAUGAUGGAUUUGCAGAGGAGCCGAAGUGUGAACUGAGAUGGAAGAGUGAAGGUGAAAAUGGUGGAGAGAGUGAAGAUGAUGAAGUGGUGGAGAAUGAAUCGAGAGAUCAAAAAUGGUGGAGAGAGUGAAGAUGAUGAAGUGGUGGAGAAUGAAUCGAGAGAUCAAAAAUGGUGGAGAGAGUGAAGAUGAUGAAGUGGUGGAGAAUGAAUCGAGAGAUCAAAAAUGGUGGAGAGAGUGAAGAUGAUGAAGUGGUGGAGAAUGAAUGAGAGAUCAAAAAUGGUGAAGCCCCUGAAGCUGAGUGAAGGUCCAGUUAUAUAGAGUUUCCAGGUUUGGCUUAUUGCUACAAAUAUGCUUGACUCUGCCGCGAAUUAUGAAGUUGCAUGACAAACUGUUUGUGAUGGAGCUCAACUGUUUUCUUCUUUUUCUUUUUUUUUUUUUGAAUUAACCAUGGUUACUGUGUUGGAACUGAUUUGGGUAUGAAUGUAUGUGUAGUAUCUUGCUGUUUGUAGGUUAUGCUGUUUGUUUAUAAGUUAUGCUAUUUGUAGGUUAUUUUUGGUUAUGCUGUGUGUAGGAUUUUGUUUGCAUUUGAAUAUGUGGCAGCAAGAUUGGAAUUUGCAUAUGGAAGUGUAUGGACUGGCUGAAACUGAUUUUGUCUAUUUUUUGCACAGGGAUGGUUUGGUUGACUGCUGUUGGGUUCUGUUGGUUUAAAAUAUGCAGGGACUGUUAUGAGCGACGCAAGUUAAACCAUGGAGCUAUCGGGAUUUAUUGUACUUGGCAUCAGUCUUGCAGCUUGAGUUGUAAUUGAGGUUUUGACUCGCUGGUCGGAGAAACUGGGCAUAAUAACCAGCUGGGUUCAACCGUGAAUGGACAAUAAAGCUUGAAAACCAAGAAAUAUCAUGUGCCUGAACUCAGAAUCGUCAAACGGCGUGGUUUAGCAUUGUAUUUACUUUGUGAUGAAGAAAAUUGGAUGUUGUAUUGUAUUCGAGUUUGUCAUGAGUGAUGAUCAUUAGCUAUGGAUGACUGGGUUCAGAAUUAUGUAUGAUGGGUGACUGGGUUUAGGAUUAUAUAUGUUGUAUGAUGUUGAUUCUGGUAUGGUAAAUGUGUAUUUAGGAGAAUUUGAAUUGAAAGAUUUUGGUGUAUACAUGGAGCUGAACAUGUGUGGAAAUAUUUCUUUUGUAUGUAAAUUUUCUUGAUGGCAAUGUACUUGUAGCAAAUGGAGCAUAAUUCUAACUUGAAGUGUAAUGAAAUUUUAGUGA